UACGUAGGGGGCAAGCGUUGUCCGGAAUUAUUGGGCGUAAAGAGCGCGUAGGCGGUCCGGUAAGUCGGUUGUGAAAGUCGGGGGCUCAACCCUCGGAUGCCGAUCGAUACUGUCGGGCUAGAGUCCGGAAGAGGCGAGUGGAAUUCCUGUUGUAGCGGUGAAAUGCGCAGAUAUCAGGAGGAACACCAAUGGCGAAGGCAGCUCGCUGGGACGGUACUGACGCUGAGGAGCGAAAGCGUGGGGGGCGAACAGG
rnacentral:rRNA from 1 species